CUAUACGGAGUUACAAAGGACGACAUUAGACGAAUCAUCUGGAAAGAUGAAUCAAAGAAGGUAAUAAUCCUGUAGUCGAAAAUGUUGUCUCUCUUGAGUGGAUCCUGAGUACGACGGAGCACGUGAAAUUCUGUCGGAAUCUGGGAGGACCAUCUCCUAAGGCUAAAUACUCUCUAGUGACCGAUAGUGAACCAGUACCGUGAGGGAAAGGUGAAAAGCACCCCGGAAGGGGAGUGAAAUAGAACCUGAAACCGUGUGCUUACAAGUAGUCAGAGCCCGUUAAUGGGUGAUGGCGUGCCUUUUGUAGAAUGAACCGGCGAGUUACGAUUUGAUGCAAGGUUAAGCAGUAAAUGUGGAGCCGUAGCGAAAGCGAGUCUGAAUAGGGCGUUUAGUAUUUGGUCGUAGACCCGAAACCAGGUGAUCUACCCUUGGUCAGGUUGAAGUUCAGGUAACACUGAAUGGAGGACCGAACCGACUUACGUUGAAAAGUGAGCGGAUGAACUGAGGGUAGCGGAGAAAUUCCAAUCGAACCUGGAGAUAGCUGGUUCUCUCCGAAAUAGCUUUAGGGCUAGCCUCAAGUGAUGAUUAUUGGAGGUAGAGCACUGUUUGGACGAGGGGCCCCUCUCGGGUUACCGAAUUCAGACAAACUCCGAAUGCCAAUUAAUUUAACUUGGGAGUCAGAACAUGGGUGAUAAGGUCCGUGUUCGAAAGGGAAACAGCCCAGACCACCAGCUAAGGUCCCAAAAUAUAUGUUAAGUGGAAAAGGAUGUGGCGUUGCCCAGACAACUAGGAUGUUGGCUUAGAAGCAGCCAUCAUUUAAAGAGUGCGUAAUAGCUCACUAGUCGAGUGACACUGCGCCGAAAAUGUACCGGGGCUAAACAUAUUACCGAAGCUGUGGAUUGUCCUUUGGACAAUGGUAGGAGAGCGUUCUAAGGGCGUUGAAGCAUGAUCGUAAGGACAUGUGGAGCGCUUAGAAGUGAGAAUGCCGGUGUGAGUAGCGAAAGACGGGUGAGAAUCCCGUCCACCGAUUGACUAAGGUUUCCAGAGGAAGGCUCGUCCGCUCUGGGUUAGUCGGGUCCUAAGCUGAGGCCGACAGGCGUAGGCGAUGGAUAACAGGUUGAUAUUCCUGUACCACCUAUAAUCGUUUUA
rnacentral:rRNA from 1 species